GUACAGCAAUCACGCAUGCGCUGGCGGACUAAGAACGACAAAUUCUCUAGCAGUAGGCGGAUCGGUCGUUACGUCGAUAGUCUCGGUGCAUCGUAUUCUCGCAGAUGUGCAUCCUGUGCACGCACCACUCUCUCUCUCUCUUUUUUAUACACACUUUCUAUACCUCUCUUUUGCACUCUAUAUGCCCGCCUCCGUGUAAAUCGCGAAUUCCAUCGAGUAUCAACUAUCGGUCCAAACUCGACGCCGGCCAUCUUCUUAUUGUUUCUUGUUUGAGAUUUCUACGUACAUAUGUAGCACACCUUCCAGCUAUACAUGUAUAUCAAUGAGUUCACUAGGUUAACGGUUAUCACCCGAUAUUCCCUUAUUCUCGUAUUUCCUUGAACACUCGCGAAUCAGAGAGAAUUCUUUACGAAACAAGCAUAAAUACGUAAAAGAUAUGUUUAUAGGUAGGACGCCCGUUCGACAACACGAUUCCCGCGAUUCUGUGCGAAUGGAACGCAGGAAUGAAAGGAAUUGGAAGGGGGGAACGAAGGAAUUUUUCUUAAUGUGAUGAAGUCGUGGGCAAGUGGUCACAUAGUUACACUUGUAUGUGCACGCGUAGAAAAAGGAUACACCUACUCGAAUUUCUCCAUGGAAAACUUCAUUUUCCUCCUUUGUCGGUCAUCGUUCUGAUUUUGUGUGGUUUGCAUUUAUCUUCCCUUUUUUUAUAAAUGGGGUUAUGUAUGAGUAUAUAUUCUGUAUACGGUCGUCUACAGCCGUGAUUAUGAGAGGUAAAUAAAAAUAUAUAACCAAAUUCUAUAGAGUUGACUAUACAAUAUUAAGCUAUUGUUAGGUUUGGCAAAUCAGUUAAAAUAUUUUCUAUAAUAACAUAAACUCGUCCCUGAAAAUCAUAAUUCAAUUAUGGCAACUGACUGGUUACUAACUAUCGAGUUAAGGUAUCAUUUGUCGAAUAAAGUACGUACUGUAAUGUACGUACACACGCAUAUAUUUUUUCAUAUUUAAAAAAUUGGUUGAUUAGUUGCUUGAACUCAAUAAAUUCAGAACUACCUUAUAAAAUUUAGUUAGUCUAUAUAUAUAAUAGAGUUCGUUGCAUUCUGGUUUAAUGUUUGUAGCUCGUAAAGUUUCUAUAACCUUUAUAUCUCACGCAUUUAAUCUACGUGUCAGUUGGGAACGCGUGUCGCUGAAAUUACGAAAGCGAUCUCGGACUACCGUAUCACAGACUUCUCGUUUACAUCGCGUCGAACACGAUGUCCAUUAUCUGUCAAGUGUGGUAUAAACGUAACCUUAUAAAACGUCGAGAAUAAUCAUCAAUGUCGAUGAUUAUCGACAGUUCGAAUCGAGCAGCAUGUAAUUAUUUGCAAGGCGGAAUUUUAAAAAAAGUGUCCCAUUUCGUUUUCUUUCGCGCUCGUGUUCAAAUGCCGAGAACUCAACGAUUGCUUAACCGAUGCCUCGUAGAUGUGGUGUACAGGUCUAUACGGUGCAAAGAGAGAGGAAAAGAGAGCUUCGGGGUACGAACGACACGUGAACGGUGACCUUUGGCCUCGGCGCAGAUCCUGCAGAGAUAUCGGUUUCGUUUUCACCGUGACGCAGUGGUACGCGCGCACACAUCGCAGUACACGCCUUUUGCCUUUUGCCCGUUGUCGGAGCAACACUUAAUUUGUCCGUCCACUUGUGCCCUCGCCGCGGGACGUUCAUUGGCCGCCGUGUAGCCAAGGAUGAAGAUUCGAGGGAGAACCGUGAGAGGCCGCGAAGGACGCCAGUGAAAGUGCUCCAUGGAUCUAUUUACUCAACGGGAAAUAAGCCUUUGUGUGCAGAUUUCUAUACCGAUCAUCUACUAUGCAAUAUUGCCGAUAUCGUACAACGCUCGAAUAGAUGAAUAAGUGGUAUCGCGUACAUCAGACGUUUAAUUUUAAUCGAUGCAGAGAUUUAUGGUAAGUAUACAUGUGGAUAUUGUUUGGUACUUGAAUGGUAUGUUUUGGUAUUCGAUCAUGUGAAACAGAUAAGGUGAAGGUAUUACUGAGCGUUUAUCGUAUAUACGGCUAUUUAUCACCCGAUGAAAUUCUACUAGCCUGUGACAAUUUUCUAAUCGUCGAUUUAUGUUUCCCAGUGCCAAAGGUUAAUUUUAUGUAAAAUGUAUUUCGUGUGAAAAUUAUAGCGCCACCUGCCACUUAAUCCUAAUCGGAUAUUGUUUGUUAUUCGAUCGAUCAUUCGCAUUAGAUAAGCUGCAAGUAAUAGUACGUGUUUAUUGCACGCAUGUUUAUUUAUCACCUGGUGAAAUUCUACUGGCCUGUGACACAUUUUCUAAUUGAAAUUUCAUGUUUUCAUGUCUAUUUUGACGUAGAAGAUUUAUGUACUCAUGCAGGGAUUAUAACGUACAUGGUUUCUGAUAAUAUAAGGUCAGGAUGGAAGAAGAAAUAAUAACGAAAACGAAAUUGAUGAAAUCCUCUAUAUUCCUCUUUGUGAAAUGUUGUAUUAGCACAGCAUUGAUUCUUAAUAGGACGUGUGAAUUUUUAAAAAAUAUUUCACCCACGUCAAUUAAAAUAAUUUCUUGCUACGUUACGUAUUGACUGACAAUGUUUAUUUUCGAUGAGCACGAAAGGUACUUGUACACCAUUAUAUUGUAGCAUUUACAUACCUACAUCAACCAAGUUCAAGUACCUACAUUAAAUGUCGCACUAUUUUAAUGGUAUUUUCAUAUAAUUAUAAUAAUUUGGUAUUUGAUAAAAAGGCGUU